CGCGAGCGAACAGGGAAGAGCCCAGCACCGAAUCCCGCGGCCGAUACCGGGCGCCGGGAAAUGUGGUGUUAGGGGGGGAUCCGUUUAUCCCGAGGUGGUGCGGUGCGUCCAAGUCCUUCUUGAACGGGGCCACAGCCCAUAGAGGGUGCCAGGCCCGUAGCGACCGCUGCCGAUCGCGGGAGGAUCUCUCCUCAGAGUCGGGUUGCUUGAGAGUGCAGCCCUAAGUGGGUGGUAAACUCCAUCUAAGGCUAAAUAUGACCACGAGACCGAUAGCGAACAAGUACCGUGAGGGAAAGUUGAAAAGCACUUUGAAGAGAGAGUUCAAGAGUACGUGAAACCGUUCAGGGGUAAACCUGAGAAACCCGAAAGGUCGAAAGGGGAAAUUCAUUCGCGUCUCGACCGUCGGAGUGGGGCGAUCGAGUGACGGACGGCGUACGCGUCGUCCGCGCCUUUCGUUCUAUUAUUCGGCGUCGAACGCGUGCACUUUUCCCCUAGUAGGACGUCGCGAUCCGUUGGGUGUCGGUCUAAGGCUCGCGGUGGAGCCCGGGCGUACGUCUUCGGGCGUUUGCGCUCGGACCCGCGGUGUCCCGGCCGACCCGCUCGACGGUAUACAGAUGGCGCGGGGCCGCUACUUUAGUUAGCGUUCGGC
rnacentral:rRNA from 1 species